GCCAAUGUGGUGUAAUGGCUUAAGCACUGGACUAGGAUUCUGUAGACCAGGGUUCAAUUCCCAGCUUGACC